rnacentral:rRNA from 1 species
UACGAGGGGUGCUAGCGUUGUCCGGAAUCAUUGGGCGUAAAGCGCCUGUAGGUUGUUUAAUAAGUCUGUUGUUAAAGACUAGGGCUUAACCCUAGAAAAGCAAUGGAAACUGUUAGACUAGAGUAUGGCAGGGGUAGAGGGAAUUUCUAGUGUAGCGGUGAAAUGCGUAGAUAUUAGAAAGAACACCGGUGGCGAAAGCGCUCUACUGGACCAUUACUGACACUCAGAGGCGAAAGCUAGGGUAGCAAAAGGGAUUAGAUACCCCUGUAGUCCUAGCCGUAAACGAUGGAUACUAGAUGUUGUGUUUUAUAUACAGUAUCGUAGCUAACGCGUUAAGUAUCCCGCCUGGGGAGUACGCUCGCAAGGGUG